rnacentral:sRNA from 1 species
AUAUCUUUCUGUACGGGAAGGAUGAGAAGCUUCGACUAAGGUUCGAUUCGAGCGCAGCGAGAAAGCGUUGCCGUAGGCAACGACCCGAAGGGCGAAGCGCG